rnacentral:rRNA from 1 species
AGUGAACGCUGGCGGUAGGCCUAACACAUGCAAGUCGAACGGCAGCACAGUAAGAGCUUGCUCUUACGGGUGGCGAGUGGCGGACGGGUGAGGAAUACAUCGGAAUCUACUUUUUCGUGGGGGAUAACGUAGGGAAACUUACGCUAAUACCGCAUACGACCUACGGGUGAAAGCAGGGGAUCUUCGGACCUUGCGCGAUUGAAUGAGCCGAUGUCGGAUUAGCUAGUUGGCGGGGUAAAGGCCCACCAAGGCGACGAUCCGUAGCUGGUCUGAGAGGAUGAUCAGCGACACUGGAACUGAGACACGGACCAGACUCCUACGGGAGGCAGCAGUGGGGAAUAUUGGACAGUGGGCGCAAGCCUGAUCCAGCCAUACCGCGUGGGUGAAGAAGGCCUUCGGGUUGUAAAGCCCUUUUGUUGGGAAAGAAAAGCAGCAGGUUAAUACCCCGCUGUUCUGACGGUACCCAAAGAAUAAGCACCGGCUAACUUCGUG